rnacentral:rRNA from 1 species
GUCGAGGGGCAGCAGAGAGUAGCAAUACUUAGAUGGCGACCGGCGCACGGGUGCGUUACGCGUAUGCAACCUACCUACAACAGGGGAAUAACCCGGAGAAAUUCGGACUAAUACCGCAUAAAACAGGGGUCCCGCAUGGGAAUAUUUGUUAAAGAUUUAUCGGUUGUAGAUGGGCAUGCGUUCCAUUAGGAAGUUGGUGAGGUAACGGCUCACCAAUCCAACGAUGGAUAGGGGAACUGAGAGGUUUGUCCCCCACACUGGAACUGAGACACGGACCAGACUCCUACGGGAGGCAGCAGUGAGGAAUAUUGGUCAAUGGGCGAGAGCCUGAACCAGCCAAAUCGCGUGAAGGAAGACUGCCUUAUGGGUUGUAAACUUCUUUUAUCAGGGAAUAAAAAGAGUUACGAGUAACUUAUUGCAUGUACCUGAUGAAUAAGCAUCGGCUAACUCCGUGCCAGCAGCCGCGGUAAUACGGAGGAUGCGAGCGUUAUCCGGAUUUAUUGGGUUUAAAGGGUGCGCAGGCGGGCUUUUAAGUCAGCGGUGAAAUCCCAACGCUUAACGUUGGAACUGCCGUUGAAACUGGGAGUCUUGAGUAUAGAUGAAGUAGGCGGAAUUCGUUGUGUAGCGGUGACAUGCUUAGAUAUAACGAGGAACUCCGAUUGCGUAGGCAGCUUACUAAGCUAUAACUGACGCUCAAGCACGAAAGCGUGGGGAUCAAACAGGAUUAGAUACCCUGGUAGUCCACCCGUAAACGAUGAUUACUAGUUGUAUGCGAUAUACCGUAUGUGACUAAGCGAAAGCGAUAAGUAAUCAAUCCAAUUCCCCGCGCCGCCAUGGCCGCCGGGAGCAUG